rnacentral:rRNA from 1 species
GAUGAACGCUGGCGGCGUGCCUAAUACAUGCAAGUCGAACGAGGUGCUCUUGUAGCAAUACGAGAGUAUCCUAGUGGCGAACGGGUGAGUAACGCGUUGGUGACCUACCCAAAGUGUGGGAUAACAGUCCGAAAGGAUUGCUAAUACCGCAUGUGGUCUUCGGAUUUAGAAACUGAUGACUAAAGGAGCAAUUCGCUUUGGGAGGGACCUGCGUCCCAUCAGCUAGUUGGUGAGGUAAUGGCUCACCAAGGCUACGACGGGUAGGGGACCUGAGAGGGUGACCCCCCACAAUGGAACUGAAACACGGUCCAUACACCUACGGGUGGCAGCAGUAGGGAAUAUUGCACAAUGGGCGAAAGCCUGAUGCAGCAACGCCGCGUGUGCGAUGAAGGCCUUCGGGUCGUAAAGCACUUUUCUGGGAGAUGAGCAAGGACAGUAUCUCAGGAAUAAGUCUCGGCUAACUACGUGCCAGCAGCCGCGG